rnacentral:piRNA from 2 species
UUCACAUCCAAACCACACGGGGUCACCCUCA